CCUACGGGCGGCAGCAGUCGAGAAUCAUUCACAAUGGGGGAAACCCUGAUGGUGCGACGCCGCGUGGGGGAAUGAAGGUCUUCGGUUUGUAAACCCCUGUCAUGUGGGAGCAAAUUAAAAAGAUAGUACCACAAGAGGAAGAGACGGCUAACUCUGUGCCAGCAGCCGCGGUAAUACAGAGGUCUCAAGCGUUGUUCGGAAUCACUGGGCGUAAAGCGUGCGUAGGCUGUUUCGUAAGUCGGGUGUGAAAGGCGCGGGCUCAACCCGCGGACGGCACAUGAUACUGCGAGACUAGAGUAAUGGAGGGGGAACCGGAAUUCUCGGUGUAGCAGUGAAAUGCGUAGAUAUCGAGAGGAACACUCGUGGCGAAGGCGGGUUCCUGGACAGUAACUGACGCUGAGGCACGAAGGCCAGGGGAGCGAAAGGGAUUAGAUACCCGGGUAGUC
rnacentral:rRNA from 1 species